AUGGCCGAGGGGCGUCGUGGAUCCGCGGGGACGGCGGCCGAGGCGCUCGACCUCGAGCUGCACCUCGGCUUGCCGUCCGCGCGGAUCGCGUUCGACCUCGACCUCAACGUCGACCUGUCGCUCUACGCCGGCCCGAUCCCGGUGGAGAACCUCGCGCUCGUCGUCUACGAGGGCCUGGUGGCGGCGGGUGGCGACGACGUGCCGGCGCCGGUGCCGCCCGCGGUGACCGGGGGCGCUGUUAGAGGUUUUCACCAUGUGGAUGUGUGUGUGUUCAUGAGAGAAGUAGAGAGUUGUGUGAGGCAGCUCGGGGUAGAAGAAGUAGAAGUGGCGCUGCGAGGUGAGGCGGCGCCAACAAUUGGUAUCAGAGCCAGGUUGAUCCGCGGCGGCGGCGGCGACGUGGUGGACUCCAUGGGAGGUGGAGGACGCCGACGCGAGGUGAUGGCUGGCAGGGGCGCGAUGCCGCGGGCGGCCGGUUGCGGUGCGAUGCCGCGAGAUGAAGGUGGUGCGAUGAUCGGCGUCGCGAGGACGUCAUCCACGACAAGAUGGUCCGUGGUGACCGGCGCUGCGACGGCGUCGGUUGUGGCGCGACGGACUUCAUGCGAGAUGGAGGCCGACGGCGCAAGAAGGAGGAUGGUGGCCAUGCGGUGCCGCUAUGUGAAGAUGGCGGUGCGAAGCUGCCACAAGAAGAGUCGGCGUGAUGCCGACGACGGUGGUGUGAUGCCAUCGUCAUCAUGGAAAGUUGGUGUGAAGCCAACAAAAGUUGCGGUGCGAUGCCGCUUGGCGAAGACGGCGUGAGGUUUUCACCAUGUGGAUGUGUGUGUGUUCAUGAGAGAAGUAGAGAGUUGUGUGAGGCAGCUCGGGGUAGAAGAAGUAGAAGUGGCGCUGCGAGGUGAGGCGGCGCCAACAGGCGCUGCGGUCGCGGACGUGGAGACGAGGGCCCUCGUCGUCUACGAGGGCCCCGCGGCCGGGGACGGCGUGCCGGUGCCGCCCGCGGUGACCGAGGGCGUUGCGGUCGCGGGCGUCGAGAUGGGGGCCGUCGUUGUGUACGAGGGCCCCGCGGCCGGGGACGGCGGGGUAACCCAGGUCGGGGUUUUGGCAACGCUGGACGACGAGCCGCAGGGCGAGGCCGGGCAGAUCGUCCCGGCCGGCAGCGUCGACUCUACCGCGCUGGCCCAACCGGGUCUGUGCUAUCUCCCCCUGCAGAUGCUGCCGCCGGACGACGGGAUCCCGUGGCUCCCCUGGGCAGGCAGCGGCGCACGCCAGUCGAGGCGGAGGGCCGACAUGGUGCGGGCGUGGGUGCGCGACCAGCUCCAGCACAAACAUCGCCUGCCCAGGGACCUGCCGCUGUGCUACAUCGGGGAGAAGGUCCUGUGCCGGUCCGACAUGAACCUGGGGCACGCCCGCCUCCUCCUCCCGGCCCCCGCGCGCGGCCGCCUCUGCCGAGCCUUCCUCUACCCCUUCGAGAUCGCCGCGUGCGGCUUCAACACCAACGACCCCAAGCCGAUUACGAUCCCCGGGGUGAGGGCCACGCCGACGACAUUCCCGGGCGUGCCCUUGUCCGUCUACGUCAGCAGCGGGCGCCGGGGGCGCGGCCAGUGCAAGUCUGACCGCCUGAAGCUCAACAAGUUCCAUCGCAACGACGCCACCGUCAUCAACGGUCAGGGGUACAGGAGCUUCAUGGUGGACUGCGGCCUGGAGGCCGGCGACGGCGUCGAGGUGUGGGCGUUCCGGUGGCCGCCUGGGAUCCGUCCGUGCCUUCUGAUCGCCAAGAAGGACGGCGUCCGCGCCCGCGCCCGAAACCCGUAG
rnacentral:rRNA from 1 species